GACGAACGCUGGCGGCGUGCUUAACACAUGCAAGUCGAACGCUGAAGCUUGGUGCUUGCACUGGGUGGAUGAGUGGCGAACGGGUGAGUAAUACGUGAGUAACCUGCCCUUGACUCUGGGAUAAGCCUGGGAAACUGGGUCUAAUACUGGAUACGACAUGUCACCGCAUGGUGGUGUGUGGAAAGGGUUUUACUGGUUUUGGAUGGGCUCACGGCCUAUCAGCUUGUUGGUGGGGUAAUGGCUCACCAAGGCGACGACGGGUAGCCGGCCUGAGAGGGUGACCGGCCACACUGGGACUGAGACACGGCCCAGACUCCUACGGGAGGCAGCAGUGGGGAAUAUUGCACAAUGGGCGGAAGCCUGAUGCAGCGACGCCGCGUGAGGGAUGACGGCCUUCGGGUUGUAAACCUCUUUCAGCACGGAAGAAGCGAAAGUGACGGCACGUGCAGAAGAAGCGCCGGCUAACUACGUG
rnacentral:rRNA from 1 species